rnacentral:rRNA from 1 species
AAGCUCGUAGUUGAAUUUCGGGGUUUACUUAUUGGUCAGGCUUAAUUGUCUGUACUGGUGAGAUAAAUCUCUACCUUCUGAGGAACUUUCACGUCAUUAAUUUGAUGUGAUUGGAAAUCAGGACUAUUACUUUGAAAAAAUUAGAGUGUUUAAAGCAGGCUAAAGUCUGAAUACAUUAGCAUGGAAUAAUGAAAUAGGACGGACUGAUUCUAUUUCGUUGGUUUCUAGGAUCACCGUAAUGAUUAAUAGGGAUAGUUGGGGGCAUUAGUAUUCAAUUGUCAGAGGUGAAAUUCUUGGAUUUAUUGAAGACUAACUACUGCGAAAGCAUUUGCCAAGGAUGUUUUCAUUAAUCAAGAACGAAAGUUAGGGGAUCGAAGACGAUCAGAUACCGUCGUAGUCUUAACCAUAAACUAUGCCGACUAGGGAUCGGACGAAGUUAAUUUUAUAAUGACGCGUUCGGCACCUUACGGGAAACCAAAGUGUUUGGGUUCCGGGGGGAGUAUGGUCGCAAGGCUGAAACUUAAAGGAAUUGACGGAAGGGCACCACCAGGGGUGGAGCCUGCGGCUUAAUUUGACUCAACACGGGGAAACUCACCAGGUCCAGACAUAGUAAGGAUUGACAGAUUGAGAGCUCUUUCUUGAUUCUAUGGGUG